rnacentral:rRNA from 1 species
GACGAACGCUGGCGGCGUGCUUAACACAUGCAAGUCGAACGGUGACCUCGAGAGCUUGCUCUCGGGUGAUCAGUGGCGAACGGGUGAGUAACACGCGAGUAACCUGCCCCAGACUCUGGAAUAACCUCGGGAAACCGGAGCUAAUACCGGAUACGAGACGGAGUCGCAUGGCUACCGUCUGGAAAGUUUUUCGGUCUGGGAUGGACUCGCGGCCUAUCAGCUUGUUGGUGAGGUAACGGCUCACCAAGGCGACGACGGGUAGCCGGCCUGAGAGGGCGACCGGCCACACUGGGACUGAGACACGGCCCAGACUCCUACGGGAGGCAGCAGUGGGGAAUAUUGCACAAUGGGCGAAAGCCUGAUGCAGCGACGCCGCGUGAGGGAUGACGGCCUUCGGGUUGUAAACCUCUUUCAGCAGGGAAGAAGCGAAAGUGACGGUACCUGCAGAAGAAGCACCGGCUAACUACGUGCCAGCCGCCGCAGUAACAC